rnacentral:rRNA from 1 species
UGAGUACGAGACGCUACGGCGUCGAAGCAGUCUAUGUCAUACUUCCAAGAAAAGCUUGCACUGUCAUAAACAAAUAAUGCCUGUACCAUAACCGACACAGGUGGGUAGGUAGAGUAUACUAAGGGGCGCGAGAUAACUCUCUCUAAGGAACUCGGCAAAAUGACUCCGUAACUUCGGGAGAAGGAGUGCCUUAUUCUUAAGGUUGCAAUAACAAGAUCCAAGCAACUGUUUAUCAAAAACACAGGUCUCCGCUAAGUCGUAAGACGAUGUAUGGGGGCUGACGCCUGCCCAGUGCCAGAAGGUUAAAGAAGUUGGUUAGCAUUCGCGAAGCUGAUAACUGAAGCCCUGGUGAACGGCGGCCGUAACUAUAACGGUCCUAAGGUAGCGAAAUUCCUUGUCGGGUAAGUUCCGACCCGCGCGAAAGGCGUAAUGAUUUGGAUACUGUCUCGGAGAGGGGCUCGGUGAAAUAGACUUGUCUGUGAAGAUGCGGACUACCUGCACCUGGACAGAAAGACCCUAUGAAGCUUUACUGUAACUUGAAAUUGAAAUUGGACUUUAUUUGCGCAGUAUAGGUGGGAGGCGUUGAGAAUAUUCUUGCGGGAAUAUUGGAGCCAUCAGUGAGAUACCACUCUUGUAAUGUUAGAUUUCUAACUUUGAAUCAUUAUCUGGUCAAAGGACAGUUUCAGGCGGGCAGUUUGACUGGGGCGGUCGCCUCCUAAAUGGUAACGGAGGCGCACAAAGGUUUCCUCUGAACGGGUAGAAAUCGUAUCUAGAGUGUAAAGGCAUAAGGAAGCUUGACUGUGAGACCUACAAGUCGAGCAGGGACGAAAGUCGGUCUUAGUGAUCUGACGGUGCUGAGUGGAAAGGCCGUCACUCAACGGAUAAAAGUUACUCUAGGAUAACAGGCUGAUCUCCCCCAAGAGUUCACAUCGACGGGGAGGUUUGGCACCUCGAUGUCGGCUCAUCGCAUCCUGGGGCGGUAGUACGUCCCAAGGGUUGGGCUGUUCGCCCAUGAAAGCGGUACGCGAGCUGGGUUCAGAACGUCGUGAGACAGUUCGGUCCAUAUCCGGUGUAGGCGUUAGAAUAUUGAGAGGAGCCUUCUUUAGUACGAGAGGACCGGGAAGGACUUACCUCUGGUGUACCAGUUAUCGUGCCAACGGUAAACGCUGGGUUGCUAUGUAUGGAGAGGAUAACCGCUGAAAGCAUCUAAGUGGGAAGCCCACCUCAAGAUAAG